rnacentral:rRNA from 1 species
UAGCAUAUCAAUAAGCGGAGGAAAAGAAACUAACAAGGAUUCCCCUAGUAACUGCGAGUGAAGCGGGAAAAGCUCAAAUUUAAAAUCUGGCGGUCUUUGGCCGUCCGAGUUGUAGUCUGGAGAAGUGCUUUCCGCGCUGGACCGUGUACAAGUCUCCUGGAACGGAGCGUCAUAGAGGGUGAGAAUCCCGUCUUUGACACGGACUACCAGUGCUCUGUGAUGCGCUCUCAAAGAGUCGAGUUGUUUGGGAAUGCAGCUCAAAAUGGGUGGUGAAUUCCAUCUAAAGCUAAAUAUUGGCGAGAGACCGAUAGCGAACAAGUACCGUGAGGGAAAGAUGAAAAGCACUUUGGAAAGAGAGUUAAACAGUACGUGAAAUUGCUGAAAGGGAAACGCUUGAAGUCAGUCGCGUCGGCCGGAACUCAGCCUUGCUUCCGCUUGGUGUACUUUCCGGUCGACGGGCCAGCAUCGAUUUCGACCGUCGGAAAAAUGCGGGGGGAAUGUGGCACCUUCGGGUGUGUUAUAGCCCCUCGUUGCAUACGACGGUUGGGAUCGAGGAUCGCAGCACGCCUUUAUGGUCGGGGUUCGCCCACGUACGUGCUUAGGAUGCUGGCGUAAUGGCUUUAAACGACCCGUCUUGAAACACGGACCAAGGAGUCUAACAUACCCGCGAGUGUUUGGGUGGAAAACCCGAGCGCGUAAUGAAAGUGAAAACCGAGACCCCUGUCAUGGGGGGCACCGGUGCCCGGACCUGAAGUUCUCUGACGGCUCCGCGGUAGAGCGUGCAUGUUGGGACCCGAAAGAUGGUGAACUAUGCCUGAAUAGGGUGAAGCCAGAGGAAACUCUGGUGGAGGCUCGUAGCGAUUCUGACGUGCAAAUCGAUCGUCAAAUUUGGGUAUAGGGGCGAAAGACUAAUCGAACCYAUCUAGUAGCUCGCUGCUGCGGA